CACUGAGCUAAAUACCCAGCCCCUUGUUUCUUUUUUAAACAAGAAAAAAAUUGUGGCAAGAUUUAGAACCUCAGGCAUAGAGGACUAGUAGUUUGCCUGCCAGUCCCUUUGGAAUGAGUGAGGUUCGUUUUCCAUCACAACGCUAAGGAGCCCCUAAAUCGCAUGUGUUUUGAAUACCAGGAGAAAAGCCAUCACUCUGAAACUACGAAAACAACUUGACUCCUCCGCCCCGCGCACGCGCCCCUCGCUGCUUCGGUUGGCCUUAGGCUCCGCCCCCUGUGCGGCCACCAGGAGGGUUGGGAGCCCAGAGCUCGCGGGACCGCUCUCGCUCAGUCGCCUCCAGCACAGCGUCGCAAACCCCGCCGGAAAGCGUGACGGCGCAGGCGCAGGCGCGGAGACCCGAGACGGUGGUGGUGGCUGCCGCUGGCCAGUUUCUUCAGCGAACCUUCAGACCAGUUUUCUCAGGAUCGUGGGCCAGACUUCGGUCGGCGAUAAAAACAGCAAGG
rnacentral:lncRNA from 1 species